rnacentral:misc_RNA from 1 species
GCAAACUUGGUCAUUUAGAGGAAGUAAAAGUCGUAACAAGGUAACCGUAGGUGAACCUGCGGUUGGAUCAUUAGAGACUUCAUGUUGCCACAUGGCUGGGGCACACCAGCCAUGUGCAAGAUUCGCGAGCCGCAUCUCUUGUGACGGUGGCGCGGUUUUGCACACACCUGUGAACCACAGACCGUCUUUUGGCGGCGGCACAGAGGUUGGGAUUCCCGACUCAGAGGGGUCCCUCCCUCGGGGACGCGCGUGUUUUUGCCGGAUCUUGAUGGGUCCCGCCCGCGUUGUUGGUCGUCCUUCCCUUGUUGGGAGGACCCAACGGUCGCCGUCGCCAGCCAAAACCUUUACACCUUUCUGAUUUUCAUCAAUAUCGACUCAUGUCAUCAUUCUUGAUUGAAACCAAAUCGAAAGAACAACUUCAGACAACGGAUCUCUUGGCUCUCGCAUCGAUGAAGAACGCAGC